rnacentral:lncRNA from 1 species
AAUUAACUCUUUAAACUAAUGUACAUAGAUUAAUUUACCAAUUUCUUAAUACAAGAAAAACUACAACAAAACAGGCCUAUCGUGACAACUUUUUUUUUACUUUAGACGGUGAAAAAAGGUUGGCAUGGGUCAUCACAAUGCUUCUCCCGACACUUCUGAAAACGUCGUCUAUAGCGCAAUUGGCAUAGAUUCCGCGACGCUUUUGAAAAAACGUCAACAUAAUUCAACAUAAGCCGACCUUUAUUGAAGGAGUGGCAAAAACCUAAUCAAUGCUGACAUUUACAAAAGGUUGGGAUAGACUCGUCUAAGACAACCUUAAAAAGGUUGGGAUAGACCCGUCUAAGACAACCUUAAAAAGGUUGGGAUAAACCUUGUCUAAAGUAACCUUUAAAAAAGAUUAGAAUAGACUCGUCUAAAGCAACCUUAAAAAAGUUGAGAUAAGCCUUGUCUAAGGCAUCCUUAAAAAGGUUGGGAUAGACACGUCUAAGGUAAUUUUUUUUCUAUUUUUUAUUAUUUCAAUAUUAAUAUAUUUUCAUAAACAUUUAUAGUAAAUAAUGAUAGAAAUGGUGCUUUAAAUACAACUAAAAAAUAAAAAAUUAAAAUUAAAAUAAAGGUUGAAUAUAUUUUUUCAAAUGCACAUUUGAAGACUACAAUCUUUUGAAUCUAUUGAAAUCAUAAGACUCUCUUAGUUAAAAAGGCAAUUAAACAUAUUUAAUAACAUAUAUAGGAAGCAAGUUAAUAUAUUAACCCAAUGUACAGAAGUAAACAAAUGAGUUUGAAAUUUCUUGCAAGUAACCCAAUGUGCUGAAUUUUGUACUACCAUUCUCAAAAUUUUAUAAGCCUUAAAAAUUUUAGACUUGAAAUUAUAGAAAAUAAAAAUUGUUUUUCAGCUUGAUAAACCUCACGUUACCAACAUAAAUCGAGCGGGAAUCCACUUCCUCCUUUUCAGCUUGACUUGUGGAAGCACUUGAGGAAUCUUCAUAGACAUCCAGGGAAAAAAGGUAAAAACAAAUCAGUUUGCUAGACAUAAACAAUUCAUAAUGGUUGAGAAUGGUUGAGCACAACAGUGAGCAGAGAAAGGGCUUGGCCCCUAGAAUCUGCAACGUUCAUGGCUAGAUCGGUUUCCCCCACGAGAUUUUUGAUCGAUUUUUGCGUCGGAAUUGUAAGAAAGGGGAUAGAGUUAGGGUUUGAAGGGGUAAGUGCUUAGGAAGUGGAGAAAAGAGAAGAGGAAGGAGACGAA